GACUCUGUAGCUCAGUUGGUUAGAGCGCUGCACCGGAAUCGCAGGGCCGUAAGUUCAAUUCCUACCAGAGGAC
rnacentral:tRNA from 1 species